AUGCAUGUUUAAGUACAGCUCGGUGGGGCAACCUACCGGGCGAAACCGCAGACGGCUCAUUAAAUCAGUUGUGGUCUAAAUGGGCGAGAGAUUUCCUUACUUGGAUAACUGUGGAAAAUCCAGAGCUAAUACAUGCAAGAUCAAGUCCUCGGCCAAAGCUCCGCGCAAGCAGAGCGACUAACUGGGGAUGCUUUUAUUAGACCGAGGCGCGCGCAUACGCGGUCGCUCACGCGGCCGUUCGUGUGUCGCACGUAAGCGCUAUAUGGUGACUCUGAAUAACACAGAUAAGCGUGCUUUAAGUAGCACGCUGCCUACUUACGAGUGACUGACCUAUCAGCUAUAACGUAUGUUAUACGCGAACGUUGGCUAUAACGGGUAACGGGGAAUCAGAGUUCGAUUCCGGAGAGGCAGCCUGAGAAACGGCUACCACG
rnacentral:rRNA from 1 species